rnacentral:rRNA from 1 species
UACAGAGGUCCCAAGCGUUGUUCGGAUUCACUGGGCGUAAAGGGUGCGUAGGUGGUCGGGUAAGUCUGAUGUGAAAUCUUCGAGCUCAACUCGAAAAUGGCAUUGGAUACUAUUCGGCUGGAGGGUUGGAAGGGGGACUGGAAUUCCAGGUGUAGCGGUGAAAUGCGUAGAUAUCUGGAGGAACACCGGUGGCGAAGGCGGCAUCCUGGACCGGUAUUGACGCUGAGGCGCGAAAGCUAGGGGAGCAAACGGG